rnacentral:lncRNA from 1 species
GCCGGGAGCUUCAUGUGGAUGAUCCACAGGGGCCAGAUACACUGUGUGGCUAUGUCACGAUGAUUAGACUCUCCCGACAGUGAUCAGAUUACGACGAUCUACUACCCGCACAAAGGUAUUGUGUUCUGAACACAUUACAGUAAAGUAUUUACUGGUCAAAUUCAAAUUUUAAAUUUAAAUACAUGCAUACUGUAUAUCAUAUUUAGAUCUUAGUAUAGAGUAAACAUA